rnacentral:misc_RNA from 1 species
AAGUCGUAACAAGGUUUCCGUAGGUGAACCUGCGGAAGGAUCAUUAACACGUAUCCACGUUAACAUCAACCACCACGAACUGUGCUCCCUGGCCUCCAACUUCAUCGCUGUCCGAUAUGGGUUCUAAUGGGUUGCAACCGCUCGAUUCCUUCGGGAUGACAAGUGCUUGUAGCAUACCUGUGUCCGACUAUCACUCCUCCGAGAGUGUGGCGGUGAGACCGGUCGCUGGGCUUAUUUUCCAUCAAACUAUUGCACUCAACCAUUUUGAGUGCGUGGUGCGAUACCGUACCAAUUUCACCCUAUUUUACCUAUUUGACUAAUGACGAGUUUCGAUGGGAGAAAUCCUAUUGGAAUGACCUAAGAUUUAUCUUAACUAAGCACAACUCUUAGCAAUGGAUAUCUUGGUUCUC